rnacentral:rRNA from 1 species
UACGUAGGGGGCAAGCGUUAUCCGGAAUUACUGGGUGUAAAGGGAGCGUAGACGGUAAUGUAAGUCUGGAGUGAAAGGCGGGGGCCCAACCCCCGGACUGCUCUGGAAACUAUGUUACUAGAGUGCAGGAGAGGUAAGCGGAAUUCCUAGUGUAGCGGUGAAAUGCGUAGAUAUUAGGAGGAACACCAGUGGCGAAGGCGGCUUACUGGACUGUAACUGACGUUGAGGCUCGAAAGCGUGGGGAGCUAACAGG